CGGACGGGUGAGUAACACGUGGAUAACCUGCCUUCGUGUGGGGGAUAGCCUUCAGAAAUGGGGGAUAAUACCGCAUAAGGUUCGUCGCGGAGGAGACUCCGGGACGAGGCAAAGCUCUUUUUGGUGAAAGCCGGGGGGUGGCGCGCGAAGAGGGGUCCGCGGCCGAUUAGCUAGUUGGUGGGGUAAGCGCCUACCAAGGCGACGAUCGGUAGCUGGUCUGAGAGGAUGGUCAGCCACACUGGGAUUGAGAACGGCCCAGACUCCUACGGGGGGCAGCAGUGAGGGAUCUUCGGCAAUGGGGGCAACCCUGACUGAGCAACGCCGCGUGCGGGAGGACGCCUUUCGGGGUGUAAACCGCUUUUCUGGGGGACGAGGCUAAUGAGUACGGACGGUACCCCAGGAAGAAGCCUCGGCUAACUACGUGCCAGCAGCCGCGGUAAUACGUAGGAGGCGAGCGUUGUCCGGAGUUACUGGGCGUAAAGGGUGCGCAGGUGGCCGUGCGCGUGGGGAGUGAAAUCGCCUGGCUUAACUGGGCGGGGGCUUUCCAGACGGCGCGGCUUGAGCAGCGGAGGGGGGCGUGGAAUUCCGGGUGGAGCGGUGAAAUGCGUAGAGAUCCGGAGGAACACCGACGGCGUAGGCAGCGCCCUGGCCGCUAUUUAGCUGACACUGAGGCACGAAAGCUGGGGGAGCAAACAGGAUUAGAUACCCUGGUAGUCCCAGCCGUAAACGAUGUCCACCAGGUGCUGGGCG
rnacentral:rRNA from 1 species